rnacentral:rRNA from 1 species
ACUCCUGCGGGAGGCAGCAGUGGGGAAUAUUGCACAAUGGGCGCAAGCCUGAUGCAGCCAUGCCGCGUGUAUGAAGAAGGCCUUCGGGUUGUAAAGUACUUUCAGCGGGGAGGAAGGCGAUAAGGUUAAUAACCUUGUUGAUUGACGUUACCCGCAGAAGAAGCACCGGCUAACUCCGUGCCAGCAGCCGCGGUAAUACGGAGGGUGCAAGCGUUAAUCGGAAUUACUGGGCGUAAAGCGCACGCAGGCGGUCUGUCAAGUCGGAUGUGAAAUCCCCGGGCUCAACCUGGGAACUGCAUUCGAAACUGGCAGGCUAGAGUCUUGUAGAGGGGGGUAGAAUUCCAGGUGUAGCGGUGAAAUGCGUAGAGAUCUGGAGGAAUACCGGUGGCGAAGGCGGCCCCCUGGACAAAGACUGACGCUCAGGUGCGAAAGCGUGGGGAGCAAACAGGAUUAGAAACCCCGGUAGUCCCA